AGGAAUUGUGAAAAGUAAAACUGAAAAACAGAGGGAGUGAAUAACAGUAUGAAAUGCUGCACAAAUCUCAAAGACAGAAGGCUCUCUGCUGAAUUUAGCAGCAGGAAUGUCACUGGUGACUCUGGCUCAUUCAGAUGCUGGUAUGUUUGCCUCUUCCUCCCGUUCAGGCUCUGCAGCCCUGGAGAACCGGACUUGGGGGGAAAACCAGUGCACCUGCAGUCAUUCUAACAACUGUGCUUACACCCUUGAGAAUCUGAACACCAUUGGUACUUGAAAAAAACGACUGGCAGACAAACUACGGUUACUCAGACUUAAGUAUUUGACAGAGAUUCUCUCAAGAAAGUAUGCCUGUCACUUCAAGGAAGACUACUGAAAGUAUUUGUUAUCAAUGAAAAAAUGCCAGCUUUCAAAUGAAAAUUAGAAUUUUGAAAAAUUGUAUCUGCCACCAUGAGCUUGCCAGCUUCCUAAUAUUUGAUGACUUUUGCAAUGGGAUGAUGAUAUUAAGGAGUAUGAUUGCUUGAUAUUAUAUAAUGAAAUGUGUCAACAUUAAGGAAGAUCUGUGUAACACAGUGAAGAUUAUUUUCCAAAUGAUCAGUGUUUGAUACUACAAAAUCACUCAAACUAUAAGACAGAUCUAUGGAUUUUAAUGUCACAGUAGGAAAAGUACAUUGAUAGUUUCAUAUUUCAUGUUGCAAUCAUCCUUUAAAAAACUACCACUUGUCACACUUUGAUGUGAUAUCAAAGAACACCCAUGAUUAUCUUAAAAAAUCUAUUAAAAUACACCUCUUUUUCCAACUAUAUAUGACAGGUGGGAUUUUCUUCAUUUUCUUAAUCCAAAACUAAUCAAUGCAACAGAGUAAAUGCAGAAGCAGAUGUAAGAAUCCAGCUAUCUUCCAUUAAGUCACAGAUUUGUUUUACAAAAGUGCAAAACAAUGCUACUCCAAGGGUGAUUCUUAUUUAAGAAAACAAAACAAAACCCAGAAAACAAGUGUUGAUGAAGAUGUAGAAAAACCAGGACUCUUGUGCUUUGUCAAUGGAGUGUAAAAUGGUACAGCUGCUGUGGAAAACAGUAUGGUGGUUCCUCAAAAAUUAAACAAAGAAUUACCAUAUGAUCCAGUAAUCCCUUUUCUAUGUAUAUACCACAGAGAAUUGAAAGCAGAGACUUAAACAGAUAUGUGCACAUCAAUGAUCAUAGCAGUAUUAUUCAAAACAGCCAAAAGAUGGAAACAAUCCAAUGUCCAUGGAUGGAUGAGUGGACAAAUGAAAUGUGGUAUGUCCAUACAAUGAAAUACUACUGAAUCUUAAAAAGGAAGGAAAUUCUGACACAUGCUACAACAUGGAUGAACCUUAAAGACAUUAUGCUAAGUGAAAUAAAACAGUCACAGAACAGAUACUGUAAUACUCCACUACCAUGAAGUACUUAAAAUAGUCAAAUUCAUAGAGACAGAAAGGAUAGUGGUUACCAAGGAUUGAGAGAGCGGAUAAUGAGGAGUUAUUGUUUAAUGAGUUUGGGAUGAUAAAAAAAGUUCCAGAGACAGAUAGUGGUAAUGAUUACAUAACAAUGUGAAUGCACUUCAUGCCACUGAACUGUGCACUUAAAAAAGAUUAAAAUGGUAAAUUUUGUGUAUAUUUUACAAUUAAAAAAAACUGAAAAAAAAAUCUAAGGAAAAAAAAAAACCCCAUGUCACUCUUCUCAGACAUUUUUGGAAACAUUUUGGGAAAUAGUUAUUUUCCAUUAAAAAUGUUAUUUAUGCAUGU